ACUGUUUCCCAUCUACUCAGAGGCUGAGGCGGGAGAAUCGCUUGAACCCGGAAGGCGGAGGUUGCAGUGAGCUGAAAUCACGCCAUUGCGCUCCAGCCUGGGUGACAGAGCAAGACUCCGUCACAAAAAAAAAGAAAAAAGAAACACCAGUUUUCUGAUUCCACCGAAGACCUACUGCCUCAGAAACUAUGAGGGCAGAACCCAGCAAUCUGUGCUUUCUUUCACAAGCCCUCCAGGAGUUGCUGAAAUUUAAGAAUCAUUGCCCCAAAAAGUGGCCCUCAUAAUGAUGCCAGAUGGGAUCUUACUCUGUUGCCCAGGCUGGAGUGCAGUGGUGCGAUCUCGGCUCUCUGCAACCUCCGCCUCCCAGGUUCAAGUGAUUCUCCUGCCUCAGCCUCCUGAGUAGCUGGGAUUUCAGUGUAUUCUCACUGGAUUAGCACUCCUAGCCCUGAGGACUCUUGGGCCAGUUUUAUUACUAAAAGAAGAAUUACAGUUUCGCUACACAGUGACCUUGCAAGAAGUAUCAGCACAGUUCAAUUUCAAAUUCUCCUCAAAUAUCAAAUAUGUUCUUGGUAUAUUUUGCUUAGCAGUUUAUUGCCUUCUCAUCUCCACUGUUUUU